rnacentral:rRNA from 1 species
CCCUUAGAUGUUCUGGGCCGCACGCGUGCUACACUGAGUGGAUCAGCGGGUCAGGUUGCGCGAAAGUGUUUCCUAAUCUUGAAAUCCGCUCGUGAUGGGGAUUGACGGUUGCAAUUUUCCGUCAUGAACGAGGAAUACCUUGUAAGCGCGGGUCAUCAUCCCGCGCUGAAUACGUCCCUGCCCUUUGUACACACCGCCCGUCGCUCCUACCGAUUGAGUGGUCCGGUGAGGCUUUGGGAUCUGAGCAAAAAGAGCGUUUCGCUCGUUUGGCUCGGAAAACUCAGUCGAACCUUAUCAUUUAGAGGGAGGAGAAGUCGUAACA